GGGGCUGACUGGUUUUGACAGCAGGACGGUUGAUUUGUAAGCAUGUCGGGCGUUGUGAAUCUGGCCCGUCAAACCAAUUCUCAAAGCCAUAACUGGCAACACUUCUAACUACGCAAUGGCUGCUUAAUCUGGAAGAUUAAGCCGUCUGCUGUUCCCCGGGAAGCCCUGCCUUUCGGCGUCCCGACCGGAGCAUCGCAAAUGAGGGGCUGGCUGGUGUGAUUUCUCUAAGCACCGGUAAGAAAACAGAGGAUACGGCCUUGGUAGGUUGGACACUGGCCAGCCAUCGCCCGACAAAUAACCAGCGCAUAAACAUGUAGAAAGCAGGUUGGCUGCCUGUUUGGACGCGGGUUCGACUCCCGCCAGCUCCACAA
rnacentral:tmRNA from 4 species